rnacentral:tRNA from 1 species
GGAGGGAUGCGAGAGUGGCCGAAUCGGGCGGUCUCGAAAACCGCUGUAUGUAUUUUGCAUACCGUGGGUUCAAAUCCCACUCCCUCCG